rnacentral:rRNA from 1 species
UACGUAGGGUGCGAGCGUUUAAUCGGAAUUACUGGGCGUAAAGCGUGCGCAGGCGGUUCGUUGUGUCGGCGGUGAAAGCCCCGGGCUUAACCUGGGAAUGGCCGUCGAAACUGGCGAACUGGAGUGUGGCAGAGGGGGGUGGAAUUCCGCGUGUAGCAGUGAAAUGCGUGGAGAUGCGGAGGAACACCGAUGGCGAAGGCAGCCCCCUGGGCUGACACUGACGCUCAGGCACGAAAGCGUGGGGAGCAAACAGG